UCUGCCUAGUAGUGGGGGAUAACUGGCCGAAAGGUAAGCUAAUACCGCAUACGUCCCACGGGAGAAAGCAGGGGACUCCUCGGAGCCUUGCGCUAUUAGAUGAGCCUAGGUCGGAUUAGUUAGUUGGUGGGGUAAUGGCUCACCAAGACCGCGAUCCGUAACUGGUCUGAGAGGAUGAUCAGUCACACUGGAACUGAGACACGGUCCAGACUCCUACGGGAGGCAGCAGUGGGGAAUAUUGGACAAUGGGGGAAACCCUGAUCCAGCCAUGCCGUGUGUGUGAAGAAGGCCUUCGGGUUGUAAAGCACUUUAAUUUGGGAGGAAGGGCUUACGGUUAAUAACCGCUAAGUUUUGACGUUACCAAAAGAAUAAGCACCGGCUAACUUCGUGCCAGCAGCCGCGGUAAUACGAAGGGUGCGAGCGUUAAUCGGAAUUACUGGGCGUAAAGCGCGCGUAGGUGGUUCAUUAAGUUAGGAGUGAAAGCCCCGGGCUCAACCUGGGAAUUGCUUCUAAAACUGGUGAGCUAGAGUACGGUAGAGGGUGGUGGAAUUUCCUGUGUAGCGGUGAAAUGCGUAGAUAUAGGAAGGAACAUCAGUGGCGAAGGCGACCACCUGGACUGAUACUGACACUGAGGUGCGAAAGCGUGGGGAGCAAACAGGAUUAGAUACCCCUGGUAAUCCACGCCGUAAACGAUGUCAACUA
rnacentral:rRNA from 1 species